rnacentral:lncRNA from 1 species
CGUCCUUUUGUUGUAAUUGUGUUUUAAAAAAAAAAUCAUUAUCAUAUUUAUUUCAUUUAGAUUAUAAAUCCGUUUUAUGCAUAUCCUUCCUAUGUUUAGUCUUUCUUUUGAAACGUUUGAAAAUAGUGCAUUUUUAAACUUCCGAUUUUCUCACGGUUUGAAAAGUCUUUUUAAAUAUCUUUCUUGAAAGUUGAAGAAAAUCUG